GUAACGGGAAUUAGGGUUCGAUUCCGGAGAGGGAGCCUGAGAAACGGCUACCACAUCCAAGGAAGGCAAGCAGGCGCGCAAAUUACCCAAUCCCGACACGGGGAAGGUAGUGACAAAUAAAUAACAACACAGGGCUCUUUUGGGUUCUUGUUAUUGGAAUGAGUACGAUUAAAUUCUCCUAACGAGGAACCAAUUGGAAGGGCGAAGUCUGGUGCCAGCAGCCGCGGUAAUUCCAGCUCCAAUAGCGUAUAUUAAAGUUGUUGCAGUUAAAAAGCUCGUAGUUGAAAUUUCAGGCCUGGCUGGACGGUUCCGCCCUUCGGGUGAGUACUGUCUGUGGUCGGGUCCUACCUUCUGGCGAAGCGUCAUGGCCUUAACCGGCUGUGGCGGGAACCAGGACUUUUACUGUAAAAAAAUUAGAGUGUUCAAAGCAGGCAAUCGCUUGGAUACAUUAGCAUGGAAUGAAUGGAAAUAGGAACGAAUGGUUCUAUUUGUUGGUUUCUAGGAACCGUUGUAAUGAUUAAUAGGGAUAGUUGGGGGCAUCUAGUAUUCGAAUUGUCGGAGGUGAAAAUUCUUGGAUUUAUUGAAGACUAACUACUGCGAAAGCGUUUGCCGAAGGAUGUUUUCAUUAAUCAAGAACGAAAGUUAGGGGAUCGAAGACGAUCAGAUACC
rnacentral:rRNA from 1 species